rnacentral:lncRNA from 1 species
UUUAAUCUUCAGAGAAGGAAUUCAACUGCCAAUCUCCUGGCCAAUCUUGCAGAGUUUAAAAAGUACAAUUCUUUCUUCACAACAGCUAUCAACUUGCCUAUGUAGAUUAUAUCCACUUUGAAGAAUGAAAACAAAAAACAGGUCCAAAUUUUCGAAUAAUAGUGAGGUAAAACACCUUCAUCUUUGAUCCUGGUUGAUUUUCUCUUUUGGAUACAUUGUCUUAUACUUGGUAUAUUUGUGAGCUCUUUCUCAGGAGUUUUAUCUCCAUCUUGUAUAUUGCUUAGGUCGAAUUGUUUUUGAACUUGUUCGUAUGCAUAGGUUAGGCUCAAGUCCCCCUCUCGAUCACCUUUUGACUUAUCAAUAUACUCCCCUUGUGAGACUCAUCCAUUCUUAUGGACUGGGGGAUCAUUGCUCUGAGAAAUUUACUUCCUCAAGAUGGUCUCUCAACUCGUUUAUGGAUGCUUAAAUCCCAUUUGGUGCGCAAUCCUCUCUGUAUAAUAGAACUCCACCUAUGUGACUUCACAAGCUUUAGCUGGUUCCAUGUUCGAUUCAACUCUCAUAAUAGAACAACAUAUCCAACGUAAUUCCACAAAAGUGAGGUGUGGGGAGGCUGAGGUGUAUGCACACACGCUAAUGUAUAUAAUGGGACCAUAGAUGUACACAAUGUAACACUUGCCAACCAUGAAUGGAUACUUUGAUCCAUGUCACGUUGUCUGUAUUGGUACUAACUGAAACAACUAGCUACACUCUCAUGUCUACAUGAAGAAGUUUAGAAUUUAGACUACCAACAAAAUGGAUGCAUCAAUUAUAAGUCUUACACUGUUGUUGCUGGACCUUUGCUGGCACAAGCUAGUCAAUCAAUAUUUUUAUGAACAUCUUUUACAUCUUCGGUGCAUAGAAUUUAAACUCAUUUUCUUUUCCCUUUUCAGGCGUAGCGUGGAGGCAAUAUAUACACCCUUGCCUUGAAAAUGAAAACUUUAACAGUAUAUUUUCCAUUACAAGUGCA